AAGACCUUGCACUUUUGGAGCGGCCGAUGUCUGAUUAGCUAGUUGGUGGGGUAACGGCCUACCAAAGCUUCGAUCAGUAGCUGGUCUGAGAGGACGGCCAGCCACACUGGGACUGAGACACGGCCCAGACUCCUACGGGAGGCAGCAGUGGGGAAUUUUGGACAAUGGGCGCAAGCCUGAUCCAGCCAUGCCGCGUGAGUGAAGAAGGCCUUCGGGUUGUAAAGCUCUUUCAGCCGGGAAGAAAAGGUUGCGACUAAUAAUCGCAAUUCAUGACGGUACCGAAAGAAGAAGCACCGGCUAACUACGUGCCAGCAGCCGCGGUAAUACGUAGGGUGCGAGCGUUAAUCGGAAUUACUGGGCGUAAAGGGUGCGCAGGCGGUUUUGUAAGUCAGAUGUGAAAUCCCCGGGCUUAACCUGGGAACU
rnacentral:rRNA from 1 species